rnacentral:lncRNA from 1 species
GAGAAAGUAGAUGAUGUGGAAGGUGAUGUGGAGGGUGAUGUGGAGAGUGGGGUGUGAGAAGAAAAAUAGGUAGUGAAGAAGUAAAAAAAAUGUGAGAUUAUUUUGGGUCAUUGGGUUAAGGAAAAAAAUUAAUUUGGGGGUGCAAAUAGNAAAACGAAAUAGUAUUUUUUUAUUUUUUAUUUAUUUUUUAUUUAUUUUCUUUUUCUUUUUCCCUUUGUUUAUUUUUUACUAUUUAUUUUUCUUUUUUCUUUU